rnacentral:rRNA from 1 species
UAGUAACUGCGAGUGAAGCGGGAAAAGCUCAAAUUUAAAAUCUGGCAGCUUCGUUGCCCGAGUUGUAAUCUGGAGAAGCGUUUUCCGUGCUGGACCGUGUACAAGUCUCUUGGAAUAGAGCGUCAUAGAGGGUGAGAAUCCCGUCCAUGACACGGACUGCCAGUGCUUUGUGAUACGCUCUCGAAGAGUCGAGUUGUUUGGGAAUGCAGCUCAAAAUGGGUGGUAAAUUCCAUCUAAAGCUAAAUAUUGGCGAGAGACCGAUAGCGAACAAGUACCGUGAGGGAAAGAUGAAAAGCACUUUGGAAAGAGAGUUAAACAGUACGUGAAAUUGUUGAAAGGGAAACGCUUGAAGUCAGUCGCGUCUUGCUUGACUCAGCCUUGCCUCGGCUUGGUGUAUUUCAAGUAGGACGGGUCAACAUCGAUUUUGACCGGUGGACAAGGGGGGGAGGAAUGUGGCACUCUUCGGGGUGUGUUAUAGCCUUCUCUCAUAUACAUCGGCUGGGAUCGAGGCCCGCAGCGCGCCCUUGUGGCCGGAGGUUCGCCUCACGUAUCGCGCUUAGGAUGUUGGCAUAAUGGCUUUAAGCGACCCGUCUUGAAACACGGACCAAGGAGUCUAACAUGCUCGCGAGUGUUAGGGUGGAAAACCCUUGCGCGUAAUGAAAGUAAAAGUUGAGAGCCUCCGCAAGGGGGUGCACCGACGCCCGGCCCUGAAGUUCUCUGACGGUGCUGCGGUAGAGCGCGUAUGUUGGGACCCGAAAGAUGGUGAACUAUGCCUGAAUAGGGCGAAGCCAGAGGAAACUCUGGUGGAGGCUCGUAGCGAUUCUGAUCGUGCAAAUCGAUCGUCAAA